rnacentral:rRNA from 1 species
UACAGAGGGUGCAAGCGUUAAUCGGAAUUACUGGGCGUAAAGCGUGCGUAGACGGUUAUCUAAGUCGAGUGUGAAAGCCCCGGGCUCAACCUGGGAAUUGCAUUCGAAACUGAAUAGCUAGGGUGCGGAAGAGGGAAGCGGAAUUUCCGGUGUAGCGGUGAAAUGCGUAGAUAUCGGAAGGAACAUCAGUGGCGAAAGCGGCUUCCUGGUCCAGCACCGACGUUCAGGCACGAAAGCGUGGGGAGCAAACAGG